ensembl:lncRNA
AUGUUCCUGAGUUGUAUCCCGCGAUGCCGAAGCCCAGGCCCCAAGAAACCCUGCUGUGGGCGCCUCGCACAGUGGUGGGGACGCUGGGCCAGCCCUCACCCCCGAUGCUCCUGGAGCUUCAAGCAGAAAAAGGCCAAGGUCCAGGACAGGGCAGCCUCGCACCUGGCACAGCACAGCGGGCUGGGGAUCUCAAGCAGCCCAGACAACCGUAGGCCAACUAAAACUGAUGACCUGUGUGUAGUGGGGGAGUGGUCAAACUCACCCACAACUCCAAAGCUCAUGUAUCGGGCAUUCCCCCAGGCGCACAAGCCACCUGAGGGCCCCCUCAGUCACUUAAUCUUGGUAAAGGCCCAGAUAGAGCCCAGGGGGUCCGCAAAUGCCCAUCUCACAGUGGAGGCACUGGGGCUCGACGACUUCGCCUGUUCCAGAAGGGAAGCAAGCUCAAGGCUGGGCCUGGAACCUGACCUGACAGCUGGGGUGGAGCAGAGCCAUGACCUUCAAGCAACAACCCCACUGGAGCAGUCAUGGCCCUCCAAAGAUGAGUGGGGGACAGCUGUGUCCCCAGCUGCAGCCAAGGAAACUGCAGAAGCACCAGACGCAGCACUGGCCCCGGCCUCAGCCCCAGCUCUGCAAGUCCCUUCUGCUGCAGCCCCAGUGCCACACCUGGCCUUUCCCGCCCCGGUGUUCCUGUAUUUCUCUUUAAUCCUCCCCAUAGUGUUCCUUGUCUCCACCUUAUUGUCGCUUUACCAAAAUAAAAUUUAAUUGAUUACCCACUGCAAAAUGUGCAAUUCACACCAUGCGAACUCCCCAUACUGUGCCCUCCCCACCCCACUCUCCCUGCACCAUGGCCCCAAUGCCAGGGACCUGGAGCCUCUGGAGAGGACAUGGGCACCUCCCCAGGGGCAGAGCCAGGGUUCCCCACUUGGAUAAAGAGCACCAAGUGCUGGGACAGCCAAGGAAAGCAAAGAACAGGGAGACGCUUGCACGGCUGUGGCAGUGCCUCCUCAUGCUCAGGGACAUGGACUCUGAGGUCACAGAUCUGACCUGCAGUGGGUGUUCUCCCUGCAGCCUCAGUGUCCUCAUCUGUGAGAUGGGAAGGCAGCCCUGCCACAGCCAUCACCGGCACAGGGAAUGCGAUGCUCUGCACCUCCCUGCACACAUUGGGACCCCUGCUUCCAGUAUGAGGAGUACACAAGAAAGGGAAAGGGUCCUUACACUGAAGGCACAGUUUGGGUCCUGGGGCCACACACACACACAGAAGCCAUCACAGUCUCUGUCCCUGCACUCAACAAUGGGUCACUGGCAGAAGGAUCCGAGCAGGGAUUUGCUCACUGCUCAGGAGACAGGGGGGCCUUGUCUGGGACCCCAUGUGCCCCAGACUGCCUGGUGUGCAGGUGACAUGGGUGGGUCUUGGCUGGGAACAUGGAGACACAGAGGAUGUCCCCAAGCACAGUAAUUGCUCUUUCCUGAGCUCCUGGGAUUUCCCAGCCCCUGGCCAAGCACACGGGUGACCACGUCUCAGCCAUGGGGAGGCACUGCUGUCAUUCCCAAUUUGCAGAUGAGGAACCCCUUGGGAGGCCCCACCCAGGUCACGGCUGUGCUGAUCCCACAUGAGGACUCCCCUCCCCACCGUAAGCCCAGACUGUCAGGCCCCGAUGACCCUGUGGGCAAACAAGAGGGCAGUACAGCAGGCCAGGAAGGAGUGGGAAGGGUAGGACUUUCUCCAAGACAUCAUAGCCACAGGGAUUUACUUAACAGGCUU